rnacentral:rRNA from 1 species
AACGUAGGAGCCAAGCGUUAUCCGAAUUCACUGGGCGUAAAGCGCGUGCAGGCGGUUGGGUAAGUUGGAUGUGAAAUCGCCCGGCUCAACUGGGCGAGGUCGUUCAAAACUGCCUGACUGGAGGACGGUAGAGGGAGGUGGAAUUCCCGGUGUAGUGGUGAAAUGCGUAGAGAUCGGGAGGAACACCAGUGGCGAAGGCGGCCUCCUGGACCGGACCUGACGCUCUGACGCGAAAGCUAGGGGAGCGAACGG